ACGCUUAAUACCGCAUACGUCCUACGGGAGAAAGUGGGGGAUCUUCGGACCUCACGCUUAUCAGAUGAGCCUAGGUCGGAUUAGCUAGUUGGUGGGGUAAAGGCUCACCAAGGCGACGAUCCGUAACUGGUCUGAGAGGAUGAUCAGUCACACUGGAACUGAGACACGGUCCAGACUCCUACGGGAGGCAGCAGUGGGGAAUAUUGGACAAUGGGCGAAAGCCUGAUCCAGCCAUGCCGCGUGUGUGAAGAAGGUCUUCGGAUUGUAAAGCACUUUAAGUUGGGAGGAAGGGCAUUAACCUAAUACGUUAGUGUUUUGACGUUACCAACAGAAUAAGCACCGGCUAACUUCGUGCCAGCAGCCGCGGUAAUACGAAGGGUGCAAGCGUUAAUCGGAAUUACUGGGCGUAAAGCGCGCGUAGGUGGUUCAGCAAGUUGGAGGUGAAAUCCCCGGGCUCAACCUGGGAACUGCCUCUAAAACUACUGAGCUAGAGUACGGUAGAGGGUGGUGGAAUUUCCUGUGUAGCGGUGAAAUGCGUAGAUAUAGGAAGGAACACCAGUGGCGAAGGCGACCACCUGGACUGAUACUAAAAGCGGGGGGCAAACGAGA
rnacentral:rRNA from 1 species